rnacentral:rRNA from 1 species
UACGUAGGGUGCAAGCGUUGUCCGGAAUUAUUGGGCGUAAAGAGCUCGUAGGCGGUUUGUCGCGUCUGCUGUGAAAACUCAGGGCUUAACCCUGAGCCUGCAGUGGGUACGGGCAGACUAGAGUGUGGUAGGGGAGAUCGGAAUUCCUGGUGUAGCGGUGGAAUGCGCAGAUAUCAGGAGGAACACCGGUGGCGAAGGCGGAUCUCUGGGCCAUAACUGACGCUGAGGAGCGAAAAGCAUGGGGAGCGAACAGG